GCCGACCCUGAUCUUCUGUGAAGGGUUCGAGUUGGAGCACGCCUGUCGGGACCCGAAAGAUGGUUAACUAUGCCUGAGCGGGGCGAAGCCAGAGGAAACUCUGGUGGAGGCUCGAAGCGAUACUGACGUGCAAAUCGUUCGUCUGACUUGGGUAUAGGGGCGAAAGACUAAUCGAACCAUCUAGUAGCUGGUUCCCUCCGAAGUUUCCCUCAGG
rnacentral:ncRNA from 1 species